UUGCUGGCUUAGUCGAGGGGAUACUUCGAUACUUAAAAAUAAUAAAAUGGAGAAAAACUAGAGGGGGUUCAAAUCCCACAGACUCCCCUGACGCGAUCCAGCAUUUUU
rnacentral:vault_RNA from 2 species